rnacentral:rRNA from 1 species
UACGUAGGGGGCGAGCGUUGUCCGGAGUUAUUGGGCGUAAAGCGCGCGCAGGCGGCCUCGCGCGCCCGACGUGAAAGCCCCCGGCUUAACCGGGGAGGGUCGUUGGGGACGGCGGGGCUUGAGGGCGGGAGAGGGCGGUGGAAUUCCCGGUGUAGUGGUGAAAUGCGUAGAGAUCGGGAGGAACACCUGUGGCGAAGGCGGCCGUCUGGGCCGACCCUGACGCUGAGGCGCGAAGGCGUGGGGAGCGAACGGG